UUUUUUAUUUUUUUUAAGUUACUUUUUGCCACAAUUGGAAUUUCAACCGUGGUGAAAAAUGUCAUUUUCCUUUAUUUCUUUAUUUUUAAACUAAAAAUAAAUUACAUUUCCAAGAUAUAUAAUACUUCAUGUUCCUUCACUUUUUCCCUAGCCGAACUUCUUCUUCUACCUCCAAACUUCAUCUUUCAUUUACGAAACUCUAUUAUUCCACUAAAACAAACUCAAAAACACAAUUUUUUCAAUAAACAAAACUAGUAAAAC
rnacentral:lncRNA from 1 species